rnacentral:rRNA from 1 species
UACAGAGGGUGCAAGCGUUGUUCGGAAUUAUUGGGCGUAAAGCGCGUGUAGGCGGCUUGGCAAGUCAGACGUGAAAUCCCUCGGCUUAACCGGGGAACUGCGUCUGAUACUGGAUGGCUUGAGUUUGGGAGAGGGAUGCGGAAUUCCAGGUGUAGCGGUGAAAUGCGUAGAUAUCUGGAGGAACACCGGUGGCGAAGGCGGCAUCCUGGACCGGCAUUGACGCUGAGGCGCGAAAGCCAGGGGAGCAAACGGG